CUGCUGCCUUCCGUAGGAGUUUGGUCCGUGUCUCAGUACCAAUGUGGGGGACCUUCCUCUCAGAACCCCUAUCCAUCGUCGGUUUGGUGGGCCGUUACCCCGCCAACUGCCUAAUGGAACGCAUGCCUAUCUAUCAGCGAUGAAUCUUUAGCAAAUAUCCCCAUGCGGGGCCCCUGCUUCAUGCGGUAUUAGUCCGACUUUCGCCGGGUUAGUCCCCCUCCUGAUAGGCAAGUUGCAUACGCGUUACUCACCCGUCGCGCCGGUCCG
rnacentral:rRNA from 1 species